GCCUGGGUGGCUCAGUCAGUUAAGCAUCUGACUUCAGCUCAGGUCAUGAUCUCAAGGUUUGUGGGUUUGAGCCCCGCAUUGGGCU
rnacentral:tRNA from 1 species